UCCGAACUGGGUGGCUAGAGUGUGCCAGAGGGGGGUAGAAUUCCACGUGUAGCAGUGAAAUGCGUAGAGAUGUGGAGGAAUACCGAUGGCGAAGGCAGCCCCCUGGGAUAACACUGACGUUCAUGCCCGAAAGCGUGGGUAGCAAACAGGAUUAGAUACCCUGGUAGUCCACGCCCUAAACGAUGUCGAUUAGCUGUUGGGGCACUUGAUGCCUUAGUAGCGUAGCUAACGCGUGAAAUCGACCGCCUGGGGAGUACGGUCGCAAGAUUAAAACUCAAAGGAAUUGACGGGGACCCGCACAAGCGGUGGAUGAUGUGGAUUAAUUCGAUGCAACGCGAAGAACCUUACCUGGUCUUGACAUGUACGGAACCUUCCAGAGACGGAAGGGUGCCUUCGGGAGCCGUAACACAGGUGCUGCAUGGCUGUCGUCAGCUCGUGUCGUGAGAUGUUGGGUUAAGUCCCGCAACGAGCGCAACCCUUGUCAUUAGUUGCCAUCAUUCAGUUGGGCACUCUAAUGAGACUGCCGGUGACAAACCGGAGGAAGGUGGGGACGACGUCAAGUCCUCAUGGCCCUUAUGACCAGGGCUUCACACGUCAUACAACGGUCGGUACAGAGGGUAGCCAAGCCGCGAGGCGGAGCCAAUCCCAGAAAACCGAUCGUAGUCCGGAUUGCACUCUGCAACUCGAGUGCAUGAAGUCGGAAUCGCUAGUAAUCGCAGGUCAGCAUACUGCGGUGAAUACGUUCCCGGGUCUUGUACACACCGCCCGUCACACCAUGGGAGUGGGGGAUACCAGAAGCAGGUAGGCUAACCGCAAGGAGGCCGCUUG
rnacentral:rRNA from 1 species